AUGGUGGAUGCUAGAAAUGAGAACGCUGGUGAGCCUUCACGGAAUCCUAGCUAUGUGGCAAGGAGGGUGAAUGUUUUGGUUGAGGAUUGGCUAAGGCACGGACUGAAUGCCCAACCUGGGAGCCAGGACAAAAUUGAAUGCAGUGUACGCUUGGGUCAGGAAGUUCUUCAGAUAAAUGUGGAUGGAAGCAUGAGGGAGAACCCUUCCCAAGGCGGCUGGGGCUUUAUAAUCAGAGAUGCUAAGGGCCAGCCAGUGGGAGCCGGAGCGGGUCACAUACAGUACAUCGGCGAUCCUCUCCAAGCAGAGGCGACAACAUGUCUACAGGGUCUGUAUGCAGCUGAGAGUUGGGAAUCGGAUCUUAUAGCCCCAGUCAUGUGGCCGGAUCAAGCACCUGAGUUUGUGCACGGUCUUGUAGCCAGCGACUCUGCUGAGCUGUGUGGUUAA
rnacentral:rRNA from 1 species